rnacentral:rRNA from 1 species
AGUGAACGCUGGCGGCAUGCCUUACACAUGCAAGUCGAACGGCAGCACAGGCUUCGCCCUCGCGUCCGGUGGCCAACUGGCGAGCAGUUCAUCGAUACGUGGCCAGCUGCGGUUGCUUGCUCGGCGACAGCCGGAAAAAUACGCCAUUCCACCUGACGGCGUACGCGGGGGAUCUUGGGAUCUUCGGCUCUUGCACGAGCCGAUGAGCCGAUGGCUGAUUAGCUAGUUGGCGGGGUAAAGGCCUACCAAGGCGACGAUCCGUAGCUGGUCUGAGAGGACGACCAGCCACACUGGGACUGAGACACGGCCCAGACUCCUACGGGAGGCAGCAGUGGGGAAUUUUGGACAAUGGGCGAAAGCCUGAUCCAGCAAUGCCGCGUGUGUGAUGAAGGCCUUCGGGUUGUAAAGCACUUUUGGCGGGAACGAAAAGCACUGUGCUAAUACCACGGUUCGAUGACGGUACCCGCAGAAUAAGCACCGGCUAACUUCGUG